rnacentral:snoRNA from 1 species
ACAGGUGAUGGAUUGAUGGUAGGCCUUUCUCUGUGGGCCUCAUAGUGUUGCUAUGGCAGAGGAGCAUGCAGCCCUGAACCACUGCCCAGCCUCCUGGCUGGCGGGCUGUGAACGCUGGAGGGGCUAUAUGAUU